CAGGGAUAAAUAUGUAUCCACUUUGCUCUCCCAGAUCCUGUUCCUUGAACUCCAUCAAACUAGUCAGAUAGUUUUACAUCGGAGUGUACAAAUUAUCCCAUGUUGACAGAUGUUUGUCACUUAGUAACUUCUUUCCAAGUUUUUCCCCCUCCCCUAAGCUUUCUUUCCAGCUUGCUUUGUUGUUUUAAAAUAUGCAUGUCUCUCACUGGAAUGCCAGUCACGAGUGCAAACUUUGUGUCCAACCUCCCACAUGAAAUGAUCCUUUUAAAGGGAACUCGAUAUGUCUCAAUCUGCACUUCACUCAAAGCCUCUGGGUACGGGCCACUCACUCACUGGUCCUGGCUCCAAAAUAACUCAGCAGAAACGAGUUUCCAACUAAAAAUCCCCUCGAAUGUCUCCCAGGGAAGAAAUAUAGCUCCUAUAAUUAAAGGAGGCAACGACCAGAGGGGAAAUGCAGCCGGCAGCCAAAAAAGAAAAAUUCAAUUUUGAGGAAUUUUCACCUAGAGGAAUCCAAGAUCUUCAGUCAAAACAGCAAUUUCUGGGGAGGUAGAUGAUGGGGGGAGGGGUAGCAGAGGGGUUAUAACUUGCUGAACAUUUCAGUAAGAACAGUAAUCAACAUGAGAUGUGGUGGUCCUGAGUAGUGUUCCAUGGCAAGCAGAGGUUUACAUUUUUUAGGUUCAAGAGCAGGUAAAUGUCUUUCGUUUGGAAUUCAACCGUAGUUAAAAAAUUGGGAGAUCUGGUUUUUCACUUGAAAGAAUAAGAACAUUUUAGGAAAUUUCUGAUGCCUGACCUAAAGUCCUCUCAUCUUUCUUCAGAUAGAGAAUAAAAUAAUUCAAAACUAUGCAAUUCUUUAAGGGAAAAAUUUUUCCCUUAAAUGUUUCUUUUUUCCUGAUGUUUUUGUUGAUGACAGUAAACUGCCUGAUAAGAAACUGACAGAUCACUUCAAAUAAAAGGCACUGUAUUACAUGCUCUGAAAUGAAAUUCAUAUCUAAGGCCUUUUGCAGAAUUAAAUCAUGCACCUAGUAUACUCCUUAAUAAUCUAGGUAAAGAUAUAUUUUCCAGGAUUUUAAUAACUCCAUAAAAAGUCUCUCUCUGCAUGUGUCUUUAUCCCUUAUAGUAUUUCAAAUUUGGCAGACUGCCUACAAAGUAAAGAUACCAACAGUUUAAAUAAAAUUUUUGUUUAAUGAAAUAAAGCGAACCUUACACACAAAUGCAUAUUACAUACAGAUAAUUUACAGGUUCAAUGAACUUGAAGCAUUGAAAUAUUUAUUCCAAUGCCUUGCAGAUUUGAAGAUGAAAAAUUUAUUUAACAGAAGUGUACAAACAUUCAUGGUAACCAACAUAUACAGAACAUCUACUAUAUUAUAGGCAUUGAAAAGACAUAGACAUAUUGUAUAUGUUGUCUGUGUAUUUCAGGUGAAACGGACAGGAAUGGGCACAUGUAUUUCAUGGAUGAAUACGUGUGUAUGAGACAUAUAUAUAUAUUUUCAAUUAGGUAGCUCUUUCUUUUUUUAAAUCUUGAGUUAUUCUAAAGAAGAAAAUAAACUUUAUACUCACUUGUAGUUAAUCGAGCUUCAUUUUGGCUAAUCAUAAUUUGACCAGUGAUUUUUUUCCUCAGAGCAUGAAGGACAGUGCUUAGAAUUUAAAAGUUUAGUGCACCCAAAAUGCUGCUCUUCUUAAGCCACUUUGAAGUAAUGCUAGUGAGUCUACGAUCCAGAUCUACAUGUUAAUCUCUAGUUUUGCCUUCAAACAGAAUUCAGUUACAAAGACCUUGGAAAGAUUUUGAAUCUAUUCAGGAGAGAAAAACCUUUAAUUUUCUGAGGAGUAAAAACUCCCCAAGAAACUUCAUAUAGCUUCUUAGAUUUUGCUUAGCAUACGUGAUAAAACAUUGAUUGUUGCAGUUUGGUGACCCAUGAAAUUUGGGGGUUAGUUUUCUCUUCAGACCAGAGCAUAUAAUUAUGCAAAUAAAGAGCUGUCACUGAUCUAGUGAAAUACUCACAAACACAUGCACUCUGAAAUUGGACAGAAAAGUGAAAAUGGUUGGUGAUGUGAGGGUGCCAUGGUUUGUUUUCCUGCCAAGUUUCUAUCCAAAUUCAUUAUUCAAAUUGUAAACUUUAAAAAGAGACAUAGCAUUCUUGGGGUGUUGGUUGUCUUUUCAUUUCAGAUUCUUUGUAUUGGUAUUGCAGGCUGACCACAAAGUACACUUCAACAUUAUUUUACCUGUGACAGUUCUCCAUAUUACCCGAGGUAAUAGCCAAGGAAGAGAAAGAUGAAUGACCUAAAAGAUGCAGGACUUCUCUAGAUUUCUUUCUAGAAACAUGUUUCAUGUCUGUUUCAAACAGAACUCAACUCCAACAAUACAAAGGAUAUAGUGAAAGGUUUUCCACAAAUCUCAAGGCGAAGGACUGGGAAAAGUUGCUUAGAAGGCCUCAGGGACUAAGUCAAACUUCCACUUUCAAGCUUUUUAUAUUCCAGGGGAAAAUACUGGUCACUGUGUGGUAUCCACCUCAUGGUCAAACUUUCAGGAUGACUUUCUCCUAUCUAGCAAUUAAAGCCAACUAUUUAACAUUUUGUGAUUUUAACCUUUGCAGUUCAUUUUACAGUUAUUACUUCUCUAAAACCUUUGUGCUGGGAAUUAACAAAGUUCUUCAAUCUAAUCAUGCUCUUUGGAAUCAAGGUCUCCCAAUUCUAAAGUUACCAUUGCACAGGCUGUUGCAUAAUUUUAGAUGUCAUGGAGAGUCCUACUGAUGAAAUCUGAGAAGGCUCAUGUCAGACCACUGACUGCUAAAGACAUCACUACAUGAAAGAUCAGUGGUGUGAAACUUUAAAAACAUCGAUCCAAAUGAAUCAAUUAAAUCAACAUUCAUCCCUCCUAAGUGUGUGGUUUAAAACUAUCAUUGUUGCUUUAUUUUUUUUUUUUUUUUAAAAAAACCUUACAUAGAUUUUG